rnacentral:tRNA from 1 species
GGUGAUUUAGCUCAGUGGCAUAAGCACCUGCCUUGCAAGCAGGUGGUCGUGAGUUCGAUCCUUGGUACCG